rnacentral:rRNA from 1 species
GAUGAGCGCUGGCGGCGUGCCUAAUACAUGCAAGUCGAGCGAACAGACGAGGAGCUUGCUCCUCUGACGUUAGCGGCGGACGGGUGAGUAACACGUGGAUAACCUACCUAUAAGACUGGGAUAACUUCGGGAAACCGUAGCUAAUACCGGAUCAUAUAUUGAACCGCAUGGUUCAAUAGUGAAAGACGGUUUUGCUGUCACUUAUAGAUGGAUCCGCGCCGCAUUAGCUAGUUGGUAAGGUAACGGCUUACCAAGGCAACGAUGCGUAGCCGACCUGAGAGGGUGAUCGGCCACACUGGAACUGAGACACGGUCCAGACUCCUACGGGAGGCAGCAGUAGGGAAUCUUCCGCAAAGGGCGAAAGCCUGACGGAGCAACGCCGCGUGAGUGAUGAAGGUCUUCGGAUCGUAAAACUCUGUUAUUAGGGAAGAACAAAUGUGUAAGUAACUAUGCACGUCUUGACGGUACCUAAUCAGAAAGCCACGGCUAACUACGUG